rnacentral:rRNA from 1 species
GAUCAUUACUGAAUAAACUUGGUUGGGUUGUUGCUGGCUCUUAGGAGCAUGUGCACGCCUAAUCCAUUUUUAACCACCUGUGCACGUUGUGUAGAUCUGAGAUACUCGAGGCAACUCGGUUUGAGAAUUGCUGUGCACAUGCCAGCUUUUCUUGUGAUCAGGUCUAUGUUUCCAUAAUACUCCAUAUGAAUGUAUUAGAAUGUUUGUAAUUGGCUUCAGUGCCUUUAAAAUCAAUACAACUUUCAACAACGGAUCUCUUGGCUCUCGCAUCGAUGAAGAACGCAGCGAAAUGCGAUAAGUAAUGUGAAUUGCAGAAUUCAGUGAAUCAUCGAAUCUUUGAACGCACCUUGCGCUCCUUGGUAUUCCGAGGAGCAUGCCUGUUUGAGUGUCAUGAAAUUCUCAACCUUUCUGGCUUUUUUCAAAGCUUAAGUUGGGCUUGGAUUUUGGAGGUUGCUGGUUUCUAACGAAUCAGCUCUUCUUAAAUGUAUUAGCAAUCCUUUGCUGACCAUCAUUGGUAUGAUAAUUAUCUAUACCACUGAUAAUCGGUUUCCCUAGUGGAGAGGCUUUGCUUCUAAUCGUCUUUUUGAGACAAUUUGACAACUUUUGACCUCAAAUCAGGUAGG